rnacentral:rRNA from 1 species
CAUGAACGCUGGCGGCGUGCUUAACACAUGCAAGUCGAACGAGAAGUGAAGACGGAAACCUUCGGGCGGAAGGCUUUAUUUCGAGUGGCGGACGGGUGAGUAACGCGUGGGUAACCUGCCUCAUACAGGGGGAUAACAGUUGGAAACGACUGUUAAUACCGCAUAAGACCACAGCACCGCAUGGUGCGGGGGUAAAAACUCCGGUGGUAUGAGAUGGACCCGCGUUCGAUUAGCCAGUUGGCGGGGUAACGGCCCACCAAAGCGACGAUCGAUAGCCGAUCUGAGAGGAUGACCGGCCACAUUGGGACUGAGACACGGCCCAAACUCCUACGGGAGGCAGCAGUGGGGAAUAUUGCACAAUGGGGGAAACCCUGAUGCAGCGACGCCGCGUGAGUGAAGAAGUAUUUCGGUAUGUAAAGCUCUAUCAGCAGGGAAGAAAAUGACGGUACCUGAGUAAGAAGCCCCGGCUAACUACGUG